rnacentral:tRNA from 1 species
GCCUAGAUAGCUCAGAUGGUUAGAGCAUGGUGCUGAUAAUGCAAGGUUGCAGGUUUGAUCCCUGGAUGGGACA